ACAAUGUGCCAAUGCAAAACAUUCUGCAAAGAAUCAAUUCAUGAAGUACACUUGACCAGGGAAUUGGUAUGUCAAUCAAUAGGCUAACUUACCAGUUCACAACUCAACUCCUAAUUAUGUUGAUAUUAAACCACCUUAAUUCUUUGCAUAAAAUAGCCCUAUGAUAACAAUGAAUGCAUUGCUGCUGGAGCUAUAUGAGGUGAAAAUGUAGCCCAUCUUAUUGCUUCUUACAAAUUAUAUCAACAAGCCAGUCAAUUGGAGAGGUUAUAAAGUUGCAGCUUUCUCCACCAGAUACAAGAAAAGACAGUUUCAUUUGGGCAACAUAAAAAAAAAAAAAUCCAAAUCUUAUUAAUUGAAUCAAGGAAAAAGAAAUUUUCAAUUUAUCUUGAUUUAUUUCUUAAUUCUGAAAAUUUAGACUGGUUUCCUUUUUUUUUUUAUUUACAACAUUACGUAACUGUUAUUAUCUUACUAUUUAACAAAGUAAAGUUCUGUUUGUUUUGUUUAAAGUUUUGUUUGCUUGCACUUUGGUGUUGAUAAGAAAUCCCUUGGUUUAGCAUUUUACAAAUACUGGCGUCACUAGGAAUAGUCUUUGGCUCUCAAUACGCAUGCCCUAUAAUAAACCUGAUUAUUUUUCUAUGACUUACUGACUUCAGACAACUUAAUUGAGUAUUUUGAUGUGGUUUGAAAUUUAUUUAUGCCUGGUGUGAAUUUUAUCUGCUCUCUCUUUCUUUCUCUGUCUUUUCCCAAAGUUUGCCUUCUAGAAUAACCCAAUUUACUAAUCUUAUCAACUAAACAGUAACCAUAUCCACUUUACAAACUCGCCCUUUCUUUUUCAAAUCCAAACUCUAAAACCCAUCAAUUAUUUAAGUUUGGCCCAGCAUAAAGAGUUAGUAGGCAGAUUCCUAGACACCUCUUAUAUGAUGCACCAGCUUUCACGUUAAAAGAGCCUAAGCAUGCACGAAUCUGCCGUGUGCAGAACUAGAUCCUUUUCUUUUUCUUGAUUUGUUUCUGUAAACUUCCAUAGAUAAGAUCUACAAAAGCUGGAACUUCAGUCCUUCAGGCAGCAAACCAGUAAAAAGAAGCAAAACGAAAGUUUUCUCUGUGUGACAUCCCACAUUGACAAGAGAAGUGAAGGAAAUUAUGUUAAAUAGUAAACAAGCCAAGCCGAGCUUUGAAUAGUUCAAGCUCAGCUCAUUGUAUUUUUUUUCAAGCUCGAGCUCGAUUCG
rnacentral:misc_RNA from 1 species